rnacentral:rRNA from 1 species
GAGUGAACGCUGGCGGCAGGCCUAACACAUGCAAGUCGAGCGGCAGCGGGUCCUUCGGGAUGCCGGCGAGCGGCGGACGGGUGAGGAAUGCAUCGGAAUCUGCCCUGUCGUGGGGGAUAACCUAGGGAAACUUAGGCUAAUACCGCAUACGACCCACGGGUGAAAGCGGGGGAUCGCAAGACCUCGCGCGAUAGGAUGAGCCGAUGUCCGAUUAGCUAGUUGGCGGGGUAAAGGCCCACCAAGGCGACGAUCGGUAGCUGGUCUGAGAGGAUGAUCAGCCACACUGGGACUGAGACACGGCCCAGACUCCUACGGGAGGCAGCAGUGGGGAAUAUUGGACAAUGGGCGCAAGCCUGAUCCAGCCAUGCCGCGUGGGUGAAGAAGGCCUUCGGGUUGUAAAGCCCUUUUGUCCGGGAAGAAAUCGUCUGGGCUAAUACCCCGGGCGGAUGACGGUACCGGAAGAAUAAGCACCGGCUAACUUCGUG